AGCUUGAGGAAUUAAUCUCAAGUGAAGCCUGCCCAGUGAAUUUUUUUUAAACGGCCGCGGUACCUUGACCGUGCUAAGGUAGCAUAAUCACUUGGCUUUUAAUUGGAGUCUGGAAUGAAAGGAAACAUGGAGAGAGGCUGUCUCUUCUAAUUUCUUUUAAACUUACUAUCCAGGUGAAAAAGCCUGGAAAAUGAAAAAAGACGAGAAGACCCUGGGAAUUUUUGAAAUUUUAUUGGGGCGAUAUAGGAUCAUAAAACAUCCUUUUAAAUUACAUGACGAGUUUUAUGAAUGGGUAAAUUACCCCAGGGAUAACAGCACAAUAAGUUAUUGUUUGUGACCUCGAUGUUGGACUAGGAAAUUUUACAGUAAGCAACUGAAAGAUAAUAUUCUGUUCGAAUAAAUUCUCCU
rnacentral:rRNA from 1 species